rnacentral:rRNA from 1 species
UACGUAGGGUGCAAGCGUUAAUCGGAAUUACUGGGCGUAAAGCGUGCGCAGGCGGUUUUGUAAGCCAGAUGUGAAAUCCCCGGGCUUAACCUGGGAAUGGCAUUUGGGACUGCAAGGCUUGAGUUUGGCAGAGGAGACUGGAAUUCCUGGUGUAGCAGUGAAAUGCGUAGAUAUCAGGAGGAAUACCGAUGGCGAAGGCAGGUCUCUGGGCUAGAACUGACGCUCAUGCACGAAAGGCGUGGGGAGCAAACAGGG